rnacentral:rRNA from 1 species
UACGUAGGUGGCAAGCGUUGUCCGGAUUUAUUGGGUUUAAAGGGUGCGUAGGCGGCCUUAUAAGUCAGUGCUGAAAUACUCUAGCUUAACUAGAGGGGUGGCAUUGAUACUGUAGGGCUUGAGUACAGUCGAGGUAGGCGGAAUUGACGGUGUAGCGGUGAAAUGCUUAGAUAUCGUCAAGAACACCGAUAGUGUAGACAGCUUACUAGGCUGUAACUGACGCUGAGGCACGAAAGUGUGGGGAUCAAACAGG